rnacentral:rRNA from 1 species
UACAGAGGUCUCAAGCGUUGUUCGGAUUCAUUGGGCGUAAAGGGUGCGUAGGCGGCGCGGUAAGUCGGGUGUGAAAUCUCGGGGCUUAACUCCGAAACUGCAUUCGAUACUGCCGUGCUUGAGGACUGGAGAGGAGACUGGAAUUUACGGUGUAGCGGUGAAAUGCGUAGAUAUCGUAAGGAAGACCAGUGGCGAAGGCGGGUCUCUGGACAGUUCCUGACGCUGAGGCACGAAGGCCAAGGGAGCAAACGGG